rnacentral:lncRNA from 1 species
UUUAAUUUACCAUACCAAAAAAUACAAUGUAGCUUACAAGUAAAUUGCCCUUAAGACGACUUAUAUCUUCUUGAUCCAAUCUUUGUUCUAAUCGACUGCCUACGUUUAUCUCAAAGAAAAGUUUCCAAGUAUAUAUGCUAGUAAAUUUCAAAAUAUAACUUACAAAGCCAAAUUAGUAACGAACGCUAGGGUUUAUCCAAACUAAAUUUGUAAAUUGCUAUUAAUAUGUGGAACCAUUAAUCCAAAAUCAUCAAAGCUGAAAAAAAACACUACCAUUUUUUUUUCUAGGUAAAAAAAAAUGUUGGUGUAGAGAAAUAAAG